rnacentral:rRNA from 1 species
GAUGAACGCUGGCGGCGUGCCUAAUACAUGCAAGUCGAGCGAACAGACGAGGAGCUUGCUCCUCUGACGUUAGCGGCGGACGGGUGAGUAACACGUGGAUAACCUACCUAUAAGACUGGGAUAACUUCGGGAAACCGGAGCUAAUACCGGAUAAUAUAUUGAACCGCAUGGUUCAAUAGUGAAAGACGGUUUUGCUGUCACUUAUAGAUGGAUCCGCGCCGCAUUAGCUAGUUGGUAAGGUAACGGCUUACCAAGGCAACGAUGCGUAGCCGACCUGAGAGGGUGAUCGGCCACACUGGAACUGAGACACGGUCCAGACUCCUACGGGAGGCAGCAGUAGGGAAUCUUCCGCAAUGGGCGAAAGCCUGACGGAGCAACGCCGCGUGAGUGAUGAAGGUCUUCGGAUCGUAAAACUCUGUUAUUAGGGAAGAACAAAUGUGUAAGUAACUAUGCACGUCUUGACGGUACCUAAUCAGAAAGCCACGGCUAAUUACGUG